rnacentral:rRNA from 1 species
UACGAAGGGGGCUAGCGUUGCUCGGAAUCACUGGGCGUAAAGGGUGCGUAGGCGGUUGUUUAAGUUUGGUGUGAAAUCUCCCGGCUCAACUGGGAGGGUGCGCCGAAUACUGAAUGACUAGAGUGCGGGAGAGGAGAGUGGAAUUCCUGGUGUAGCGGUGAAAUGCGUAGAUAUCAGGAGGAACACCGGUGGUGUAGACGGCUCUCUGGACCGUAACUGACGCUGAGGCACGAAAGCGUGGGGAGCGAACAGG